rnacentral:rRNA from 1 species
GACGAAGGGGGCUAGCGUUGUUCGGAAUUACUGGGCGUAAAGCGCAUGUAGGCGGAUUGUUAAGUCAGGGGUGAAAGCCCGAGGCUCAACCUCGGAAUUGCCUUUGAUACUGGCAACCUUGAGUGCGGGAGAGGUGAGUGGAAUUCCCAGUGUAGAGGUGAAAUUCGUAGAUAUUGGGAAGAACACCAGUGGCGAAGGCGGCUCACUGGCCCGUAACUGACGCUGAGAUGCGAAAGCGUGGGGAGCAAACAGG